GUCACGUGACACGGAGGGGGCCGAAUUCUGCUGGAGGCAGCGCCAUAUCCUGGAGGUGAAGGUACCACCUCAUGGAGACCCCCGCGGCCGCCGCCCCCGCUGGGAGCUUAUUCCCCUCCUUCCUGCUCCUGGCCUGCGGGACGCUGGUGGCCGCCUUGCUGGGCGCCGCUCACCGCCUGGGGCUCUUCUAUCAGCUGCUGCACAAGGUGCGGGGCACAGAAUGGGAGGUGGGCUGGGGGCAGUCAAAGAGGGAGGGGCCUCGUGGUGCUGCUUCCAGCUCACUCAUUGUGCAGGGUGGGAAAGCGAGCCCCGACUAGUCCAGAGGGACUGGUAAGAGGUUCUGUCCAGGGCCCUGUCUCCAUUGCCACGCUGUGUAUGGAGGCCUGGACUUUGCCACUGGUAAGAGAGAACACGGAAGCUGCCGCUGCCGGGGCACUCGCACCCCACCUACCUCCUUCCCCAGUGACUCUUUUCACAGAACAGAUGGACAGCACUCUGUGCUCCCUAACCUGGAUGGGAUAAAUGGGGCAGAGGGCAGGCUCCAGCGAGGGGGUGGCAGUGACAGUUU
rnacentral:lncRNA from 1 species